CAAGAAAUGCGACGACAGUUCGAGGCAGAUUUCAUGGUUGAAUCCUCUCAAGCCCAGGAAAAGCGUGAAGGAACAGAUGAAGGAGAAGGUGGUGAGGUUGUCGGGGUAACCAACCCAUCAAUGAAUUAAGAUUUCAUACCUUUUUUGCGAUGGGUCCAACUCAAGCAUCCUUGAAGAAUGUAUUGAACAUGGAAGCGAUCAAGUUAUGGCCAUAAGUGAAGACAUU
rnacentral:lncRNA from 1 species